AAACCAAAUGGCUGCAGUAACUAUAACUGUAUGAAUGUAGCAUAAUAAUUCGCCACUUAAUUGGUGGAUAGUAUGAAUGGUUAAACGAAAAUUCCUCUGUCUUAUAAAAUAAAAAAGAAAUUUAAAUUGUAGUCAAGAGCUACAUAAAAUUGUAAGACGAAAAGACCCUAUAAAGCUUAACUAUAAUCUUUCUCAUCUUUUAAAAUAAAAAUUUAAAAGAAAGAUUGGUAGUUUCAUUGGGGCGAUGGUCUCUAAAAAAAAACAGAGAUAAUCUACAUUAAUAAAAUAAUUUAUUAUUUAAUUAAUCAAUUUAAUAAUUACAAAGUAAGAUAUAAUGACCCAUUAUAAUCUCAAAAAAGAAAUAAUGAUCUUUAAAUAAAAGCUACUUUAGGGAUAACAGGAUUAUCUUUUCUAAGAGCCCUAAUCAAAGAAAAGGUUUAUCACCUCGAUGUUGAAUUAAGAUAACCUAAUGGUGCAGC
rnacentral:rRNA from 1 species